rnacentral:rRNA from 1 species
UACGUAGGGUGCGAGCGUUGUCCGGAAUUAUUGGGCGUAAAGAGCUCGUAGGCGGUCUGUUGCGUCCGCUGUGAAAACUCGGGGCUUAACCCCGAGCCUGCAGUGGAUACGGGCAGACUAGAGGUAGGUAGGGGAGAAUGGAAUUCCCGGUGUAGCGGUGAAAUGCGCAGAUAUCGGGAGGAACACCGGUGGCGAAGGCGGCAUCCUGGACCGGCAUUGACGCUGAGGCGCGAAAGCCAGGGGAGCAAACAGG